rnacentral:rRNA from 1 species
GAUGAACGCUGGCGGCGUGCCUAAUACAUGCAAGUCGAGCGAACAGACGAGGAGCUUGCUCCUCUGACGUUAGCGGCGGACGGGGGAGUAACACGUGGAUAACCGACCUAUAAGACUGGGAUAACUUCGGGAAACCGGAGCUAAUACCGGAUAAUAUAUUGAACCGCAUGGUUCAAUAGUGAAAGACGGUUUUGCUGUCACUUAUAGAUGGAUCCGCGCCGCAUUAGCUAGUUGGUAAGGUAACGGCUUACCAAGGCGACGAUGCGUAGCCGACGUGAGAGGGUGAUCGGCCACACCGGAACUGAGACACGGUCGCGACGCCUACGGGAGGCAGCAGUAGGGAAUCUUACGCAAUGGGCGAAAGCAUGACGGAGCAACGCCGCGUGAGUGAUGAAGGUCUUCGGAUCGUAAAACUCUGUUAUUAGGGAAGAACAAAUGUGUAAGUAACUAUGCACGUCUUGAGGUUACCUGAUCAGAAAGCCCCGGCUAACUACGUG